UACGUAGGGGGCAAGCGUUGUCCGGAAUCAUUGGGCGUAAAGCGCGUGUAGGCGGCCCGAUAAGUCCGCUGUGAAAGUCCAGGGCUCAACCCUGGAAUGCCGGUGGAUACUGUCGGGCUCGAGUCCGGAAGAGGCGAGUGGAAUUCCUGGUGUAGCGGUGAAGUGCGCAGAUAUCAGGAGGAACACCGAUGGCGAAGGCAGCUCGCUGGGACGGUACUGACGCUGAGACGCGAAAGCGUGGGGAGCAAACAGG
rnacentral:rRNA from 1 species